UUUCAACUUCUUCACAGCCUGCUAAAGGUCUUAAUUUUUCUUGAAUUUGAUUAAUUUCAACAUCUACAGAAUUAAUCAAAUUCAAGAAAAAUUAAGACCUUUAGCAGGCUGUGAAGAAGUUGAAAA